AUGAAGGCCUUCGGGUUGUAAAGCACUUUUGGCAGGAAAGAAAUCGCGCGGGCUAAUACCCUGCGUGGAUGACGGUACCUGCAGAAUAAGCACCGGCUAACUACGUGCCAGCAGCCGCGGUAAUACGUAGGGUGCAAGCGUUAAUCGGAAUUACUGGGCGUAAAGCGUGCGCAGGCGGUUCGGAAAGAAAGAUGUGAAAUCCCAGGGCUCAACCUUGGAAUGGCAUUUUUAACUACCGGACUAGAGUGUGUCAGAGGGGGGUGGAAUUCCGCGUGUAGCAGUGAAAUGCGUAGAGAUGCGGAGGAACACCGAUGGCGAAGGCAGCCCCCUGGGAUAACACUGACGCUCAGGCACGAAAGCGUGGGGAGCAAACAGGAUUAGAUACCCUGGUAGUCCACGCCCUAAACGAUGUCAACUAGCUGUCGGGCUCUUCGGGGCCUG
rnacentral:rRNA from 1 species